rnacentral:lncRNA from 1 species
UAGGAUCCUUAGAGUCCUAUAUAAAUCCUUGUAUCUUUCAUGAAAGAAAAACAAUGAAUAAUUUUACAAACUCCACAAAUACUUGUGUCAAUCGCUCCGAGAGGGAGAGGGUGUGAGACCCAAAAUCGCCCCACAAGGGGAGGGAGUGAGGCCCACUUUCUAUCCUAUUCCUUCUACUUAAGAUUCAGUGUUCCUGCGACUCUGAUCGACUCCACC